rnacentral:rRNA from 1 species
AGCGGACGCUGGCGGCAGGCUUAACACAUGCAAGUCGGACGGGCACUUCGGUGUCAGUGGCAGACGGGUGAGUAACACGUGGGAACGUACCUUUUGGUUCGGAACAACACAGGGAAACUUGUGCUAAUACCGGAUAAGCCCUUACGGGGAAAGAUUUAUCGCCGAAAGAUCGGCCCGCGUCUGAUUAGCUAGUUGGUGAGGUAAUGGCUCACCAAGGCGACGAUCAGUAGCUGGUCUGAGAGGAUGAUCAGCCACAUUGGGACUGAGACACGGCCCAAACUCCUACGGGAGGCAGCAGUGGGGAAUAUUGGACAAUGGGCGCAAGCCUGAUCCAGCCAUGCCGCGUGAGUGAUGAAGGCCCUAGGGUUGUAAAGCUCUUUUGUGCGGGAAGAUAAUGACGGUACCGCAAGAAUAAGCCCCGGCUAACUUCGUGCCAGCCGCCGCCGUAA